rnacentral:rRNA from 1 species
CUACGGGUGGCAGCAGCCGAGAAUAUUCGUCAAUGAGCGAAAGCCUGAACGAGCGACGCCGCGUGAAUGAAGAAGGUCUUCGGAUUGUAAAAUUCUUUUCUCUGUGAGGAACCUUUUAGGUGACAGUAACAGAGGAAUAAGGGGGUGCAAAUUCUGUGCCAGCAGCAGCGGUAAGACAGAACCCCCAAGCGUUAUCCGGAUUUAUUGGGCGUAAAGGGUCCGUAGGUGGUUUAGUUAGUCUAAAAUGAAAUAUCUCAGGCUCAACUUGAGAAACCUUUUGGAUACGGCUAAACUAGAGGGCGUUAGAGGCUGAUGGAACGGUUGGUGUAGGGGUGAAAUCCGUUGAUAUCAACCGGAACACCGAAAGCGAAGGCAUUCAGCUGGGGCGACCCUGACACUGAGGGAUGAAAGCGUGGGUAGCAAAAAGGAUUAGAUACCCUCGUAGUC